GCCGUGGUAGUGCAGUAUUAAACACGUGCCUCUGAAAAGGGUAAGGCGCAAGUUUAAUUCCGGCCCGAGGGCU